UUUCUCCUUUUUUGCUGCUUUCUUUAUCCACCCGAGGACGGCUGGAAGCGAAAACGGGGGGAGAAGGCAGAGCUUUUGGGCUGGCAGAUGGGACGGGGAUACGGCUGGCUUGCUAAGGAAGACACGAGAGAAAAGAAGAAGGAGAGAAAGGAAGGGAAUCCGGAGGGGGAGAGAGGAGGAGCUCGAAGGGAAAAACAGAGGAAGCUGAGGGAUUUUAGAGGUUGCAAGAAGGAAGAUAUCCGGGAGGAAAACGAGAAAGGAAAAGGAUCUGAGGAUCCACUCACCCUGACUUCUCUGGGUUCAGAGUUUCCAGGCUUCAAAAGUAAUUUUGCUCGAAACCCGGCCUUCCACUGCAAAAAAAAAUGAUUCUAUAUGCCUUGGUUGUCUUUGAAUUUCCCCCGGUUUUCGACGCUGCGGGGGCCGCGAAGUGUGGGCAUCUGUGGGUGAUUCUAUCAUUUUCAGCUCGUCUCUUGCCUUGAUAGUUAAUAUAAUUUUUGCGUUUGACGUUGAAUGUUGUGUGUGCAUCUUUGGGUGAUUUUGUCAUGUUCAGUUCAGAUGUCGUUUUCAUAGUUGAUAUUUUCAGUUUUGAUGUUGAAGAUUGGUGAUAUAUAGUGUAUCUCUGUAGAAAUAAAUACUGUGGAAUUCUGUAAUAAUUCUUGUGGAAGAAGGAGAGUGUGAGGGAAAAGAUUAUUUAA